rnacentral:rRNA from 1 species
CAGUAGCCGCGGGAAUACAGAGGGUGCGAGCGUUAAUCGGAUUUACUGGGCGUAAAGCGUGCGUAGGCGGCUUCUUAAGUCGGAUGUGAAAUCCCUGAGCUUAACUUAGGAAUUGCAUUCGAUACUGGGAAGCUAGAGUAUGGGAGAGGAUGGUAGAAUUCCAGGUGUAGCGGUGAAAUGCGUAGAGAUCUGGAGGAAUACCGAUGGCGAAGGCAGCCAUCUGUCCUAAUACUGACGCUGAGGUACGAAAGCAUGGGGAGCAAACAGGAUUAGAUACCCCUGUAGUCCCUGUCUCUUAUAC